AUUGAACGCUGGCGGCAUGCCUUACACAUGCAAGUCGAACGGUAAUGGGCCUUUGGGUGCCGACGAGUGGCGAACGGGUGAGUAAUACAUCGGAACGGGCCCGAACGCGUGGGUAAACGGGGCUAAAGCUGGGCUAAAACGGCAGACGAGCCACGUAAGAAAGCAGGAGAGCGCAGGGCCUUGCGCGGACGGGUCGGCCGAUGGCAGAGUAGGUAGUUGGUGGGAUUAAAGCUUACCAAGCCGAGGAGCGGUAGCUGGUCUGAGAGGGUGAACAGCCACACUGGGACUGAGACACAGCCCACACUCCUGCGGGAGGCAGCGGUGCGGACUUUUGGACGAUGCGCGCAUGCCUGAUCCAGCCCAGCCGCGUGCAGGCUGAAGCACUGCGGGUUGUAGACUGCUUUUGUACGGCACGAAAAGCCUUCUUUUAAUACAGGAGGGUAAUGACGGUACCGGAAGAAUAAGCACCGGCUAACUACGUG
rnacentral:rRNA from 1 species